UCCUCGUCGUCGGCCAUCUUGCAAUUGGUCGUCGUUAUAUAUGCUUUUGCAUCGUGCAGUUCUUCAUUCUUGGACAACCUGCCUGCUGGAUAAAAUGGUGAAGCCGGUCAUCGGAUUUCGUAUGCUGGUGCUGCUGCUGGCCUGCUUGUGGUUUGGUGCUGUUUUAGGCUUCCAACAACCGGU
rnacentral:ribozyme from 1 species